AUACUUACCUGUCAGGGGAGAUGCCAUGGUCACAAAGGUGAUUUUUCCAGGAUUAGGUUUAUCCAUUACACUCCAGAUAGGCUGACCCCUGUGAUUUUCCCAGAUGUAAAAGCUGGCAGCAUAGUUUUUGGUAGUGGGGGACUACGUGUGUUUGUGCUUUCCCAUG
ensembl:snRNA U1 U1 spliceosomal RNA